GAGAUGUAGUUCGGGUUGCGGUCCCCGGCUCUGGGCAUGCGCAGAUCGGGGGGGCGGAGCGGAGUGUGAUCAGCUGUUGGGUGAUGGCCGCGCGGCUGCUCUAUUGUAAACUGGGAGCCCGGGCGGAGCAGCGGGGUGUGUGACUGAGAUCAGAGCUCUUAUCAUGCUGAGCAUGGCCCUGUUCUGCCAGGCACUGAAGAGACCCCACAUGAGAUCAGACCCUACUGUUGUGCCAGGCUAUAGAAUAACGUCCACAUUUGCUCCAGAUCAUCCCAUCCUCCCAGGGGAAGGAACUGGCUGCAAUGGAGCUGGCUCAGAGGCUGGUGACCUUCGAGGAGGUGGCU